rnacentral:rRNA from 1 species
AACGCUAGCUACAGGCUUAACACAUGCAAGUCGAGGGGAAACGACAUCGAAAGCUUGCUUUUGAUGGGCGUCGACCGGCGCACGGGUGAGUAACGCGUAUCCAACCUGCCCACCACUUGGGGAUAACCUUGCGAAAGUAAGACUAAUACCCAAUGAUAUCCCACGAAGGCAUCGGAAUGGGAUUAAAGAUUUAUCGGUGAUGGAUGGGGAUGCGUCUGAUUAGCUUGUUGGCGGGGUAACGGCCCACCAAGGCUACGAUCAGUAGGGGUUCUGAGAGGAAGGUCCCCCACAUUGGAACUGAGACACGGUCCAAACUCCUACGGGAGGCAGCAGUGAGGAAUAUUGGUCAAUGGGCGAGAGCCUGAACCAGCCAAGUAGCGUGCAGGACGACGGCCCUAUGGGUUGUAAACUGCUUUUAUAAGGGAAUAAAGUGAGUCUCGUGAGACUUUUUGCAUGUACCUUAUGAAUAAGGACCGGCUAAUUCCGUGCCAGCAGCCGCGGUAAUACGGAAGGUCCGGGCGUUAUCCGGAUUUAUUGGGUUUAAAGGGAGCGUAGGCCGGAGAUUAAGCGUGUUGUGAAAUGUAGUGGCUCAACCUCUGCACUGCAGCGCGAACUGGUCUUCUUGAGUACGCACAACGUGGGCGGAAUUCGUGGUGUAGCGGUGAAAUGCUUAGAUAUCACGAAGAACUCCCGAUUG